UACGUAGGGUGCGAGCGUUGUCCGGAAUUACUGGGCGUAAAGAGCUCGUAGGUGGUUUGUCGCGUUGUUCGUGAAAACUCACAGCUUAACUGUGGGCGUGCGGGCGAUACGGGCAGACUGGAGUACUGCAGGGGAGACUGGAAUUCCUGGUGUAGCGGUGGAAUGCGCAGAUAUCAGGAGGAACACCGGUGGCGAAGGCGGGUCUCUGGGCAGUAACUGACGCUGGAGGAGCGAAAGCGUGGGGAGCGAACAGGAUAGAUACCCUGUAG
rnacentral:rRNA from 1 species